GACGAACGCUGGCGGCGUGCCUAAUACAUGCAAGUCGAGCGGACCACUUCGGUGGUCAGCGGCGGACGGGUGAGUAACACGUGGGCAACCUGCCUGUAAGACUGGGAUAACACCGGGAAACCGGUGCUAAUACCGGAUAAUCCUUUCCUUCACAUGAGGGAAAGCUGAAAGACGGUUUCGGCUGUCACUUACAGAUGGGCCCGCGGCGCAUUAGCUAGUUGGUGAGGUAACGGCUCACCAAGGCAACGAGGCGUAGCCGACCUGAGAGGGUGAUCGGCCACACUGGGACUGGGACACGGCCCAGACUCCUACGGGAGGCAGGAGUAGGGAAUCUUCCGCAAUGGACGAAAGUCUGACGGAGCAACGCCGCGUUAGCGAUGAAGGCCUUCGGGUCGUAAAGCUCUGUUGUCAGGGAAGAACAAGUACCGGAGUAACUGCCGGUACCUUGACGGUACCUGGCCAGAAAGCCACGGCUAACUACGUGCCAGCCGCCGCCGUAAAAC
rnacentral:rRNA from 1 species